rnacentral:rRNA from 1 species
AUAUCAAUAAGCGGAGGAAAAGAAACCAACCGGGAUUGCCUCAGUAACGGCGAGUGAAGCGGCAACAGCUCAAAUUUGAAAUCUGGCCGUUCCGCGGCCCGAGUUGUAAUUUGGAGAGGAUGCUUCGGGUGCGGCGCCGGUCUAAGUUCCUUGGAACAGGACGUCAUAGAGGGUGAGAAUCCCGUACGUGACCGGCGGCCCGGCCCGUGUGAAGCUCCUUCGACGAGUCGAGUUGUUUGGGAAUGCAGCUCUAAAUGGGUGGUAAAUUUCAUCUAAAGCUAAAUACCGGCCAGAGACCGAUAGCGCACAAGUAGAGUGAUCGAAAGAUGAAAAGCACUUUGGAAAGAGAGUUAAACAGUACGUGAAAUUGUUGAAAGGGAAGCGCUUGCCACCAGACUUGCUCGCGGGUGAUCAGCCGUCCUUCUGGGCGGUGCACUCGCCCGCGAUCAGGCCAGCAUCGGUCCGGGCGGCCGGAUAAAGGCCCCGGGAAUGUGACUCCCCCCGGGGAGUGUUAUAGCCCGGGGUGCAAUGCGGCCAGCCCGGACCGAGGACCGCGCUUCGGCGGAUGCUGGCGUAAUGGUUGCAAGCGACCCGUCUUGAAACACGGACCAAGGAGUCUAACAUCUAUGCGGGUGUUUGGGCGUCAAAACCCACGCGCGUAAUGAAAGUGAACGGAGGUGGGAACCCUCCAGGGUGCACCAUCGACCGAUCCUGAUGUCUUCGGAUGGAUUUGAGUAAGAGCAUAGCUGUUGGGACCCGAAAGAUGGUGAACUAUGCCUGAAUAGGGUGAAGCCAGAGGAAACUCUGGUGGAGGCUCGCAGCGGUUCUGACGUGCAAAUCGAUCGUCAAAUUUGGGUAUAGGGGCGAAAGACUAAUCGAACCAUCUAGUAGCUGGUUCCUGCCGAAGUUUCCCUCAGGAUAGCAGUAACGUUUUCAGUUUUACGAGGUAAAGCGAAUGAUUAGAGGCCUUGGGGUUGAAACAACCUUAACCUAUUCUCAAACUUUAAAUAUGUAAGAAGUCCUUGUUACUUAGUUGAACGUGGACAUUUGAAUGCACCGUUACUAGUGGGCCAUUUUUGGUAAGCAGAACUGGCGAUGCGGGAUGAACCGAACGUGAGGUUAAGGUGCCGGAAUGCACGCUCAUCAGACACCACAAAAGGUGUUAGUCCAUCUAGACAGCCGGACGGUGGCCAUGGAAGUCGGAAUCCGCUAAGGAGUGUGUAACAACUCACCGGCCGAAUGAACUAGCCCUGAAAAUGGAUGGCGCUCAAGCGUGCUACCCAUACCUCGCCGCCGGGGUAGAAACGAUGCCCCGGCGAGUAGGCAGGCGUGGGGGUCAGUGACGAAGCCUUGGGAGUGAUCCCGGGUCGAACGGCCCCUAGUGC